rnacentral:lncRNA from 1 species
UUUUGUAUAAAUGCCUAUGCAGUUGUCCACGCUGUUCCUACUCAGCCUUCAGCUCCUCGUUUUAAUGAUCUUUCCUUUUGGUAGGGCUUCAGAGACAUCAAAGAUAUGGGAAGCAAAGCCAGCCCCUGUGACCACAGCGGGCACUGCAUUGUGGCCCCUGGCUUGCUUGACCUUAGCCAGUCCAGAUAAAGAUUCCUUCCUCUAGGAUGUUACGUUGUUGCUGCUUUAGGUACAGAUGCAGUUUCUGUUGCCUAUGUAACCAGAAAAAUAACCUGGCUUCUGUGGUAUGGUGUGUUCAUAAAGAAGUGGUGCAGCCUGUUUACCCAGUAGAGUCUCAAAGGAUCACUGAAGUCCUUUAAGUACUGAAGGUUGGAGUAGACAUUAUUUCCUUAGCUCUCAUAACAUGCCUCUGCUUUUGUAGUUGUACUACAUAUGUCAAUGAGCUCGUCAACAGUUCAUGAAAUUACAAAAGAGUCACUUUAGAUGACUGACGCCUUUGAAAUAGAUGUAAGUGUUUAAUAUUAAAUUGGGGUUACUUUGCAGCUAUCUUUGAAGGUCUGUACUUUUCUUUCUGCACUUGGCUCUGUAUUUACAUGGUUGUUGCAAAGCCAUUCUUUCCUCAAUGUCACAUUUUAUGAAGAUCCUGAUAAGCAGAGUCUCUGUAAUGCAGAUAUCUGUUUAACCAGAUAGACUAGAAUAAAGAGGUCAUCUUGGUGUUACUUAGAUGGCAGCCACCUCCCAUUAUCUGAGAUAUCUACACCCAGCGAGCGGUGGCUAAUGCUUACAGUCACUUGGCCAACCUGGUUUGCAUCCCCACCCCCAACCCACAUAGACACUGAAGGGUUUCCUUGCUUUAUUAAUUCCAGGCAGUGUAGCUGCACAGAACUCCACUCAUGACAACGGCUUUUACUACCUAGCUUUCUGACUCCUUUCUGCCUCGAAAGUAUCAAUACUUGGCCUCUGUUCUAGGACAAUUGUAAAGGCAAGUGAGAUAGGUCUGUUUUAGAACACUGAUGCACACAUGAUGCUUAGGUAAGGAGUAAUGAGUGUGAUCCAGCCUGUCAUAACCCUUAUAUCAAACACGCUUCCAUUAGAGUAGUAGGAAUGAGUUUGAAGGAAGGUGUUGAACUUUAAACAGUUAUGUUGAAUGGAGUUAGAUAGCCUAUUUUGACUUCUAAUGUGUCUUCAAUCAGUCCUGGAUACUCACCUUUGUCUUUUGCAAAUAAAGACAUUCAUUAGUUGCGCUUGUCUUUGUAAGUAAGGUUGGUUUUCAUAAAAGUUUUAAGUUGCCUUUGCUUAUUUAAAAGGAGAAAAGUACGUUAGUAACUUUUUUCUUGCAAGUUUGCCUCCAGUUCUAUGGAAAAUCAUAAUUUAUUUCCCACAUUAUUUUCAUCUUAAAAAUAAAAAUCAGUGCCCAUUUAAUUUGAGUCUGAUAGUGAUUUUAGUAGGUCUGGAUCCAGGUAGUGUGGGAAUGGGGAGUAGCCAUUUAGAGGCUGUGGGUUGUUGAGUCGUUAUGGGUAUACUUCAUGCACUGUGAUGAAGCUUGUGGGGACAGUCUCAGAGACUGCUGCUCUUGGUGGGCGACUGGUCGUAGCUGGCUGCUGUUGGAGCUGCAUCAUGACUUACAAAACCAGCAGGUACAGGCCCAUCAGAACCUAGUAUCUUAUCCCUCAGCCAAUGAGACGAAUACUGGUAUGCUUUCUGACACACAGGGUGAAUGAAUACUGACCUAGGGAGUCUGAUGUAAACUAACUGAAGAAAAGAGUCCUUCCUCUCAAGGUGAUGCUGAUUUGUGGUGUUUAGGAGAGGGGAGUAGGACUGCAGACGAGGACUGGUUCAGAUGGUGACCACAGUAACUGAAGGUUCUGUCCUGCUCUUGUCAUCAGGAGGGUUAUGUUUGCUGAUGUUGGCAGGCACAGUGCAAGUCAUUUAUGGAGACAGUUCAGUGUAAACUGUCUUGCCAACCAUUUUGCCUUUUCUCUGUUACUCUAUUCUUUCUCUCCUUAACCAGCCUUGCUACAUUUUACCUCUCUCCUGAAAUCACUUUCCUGCUUCAUGGUACCAAGCAGUACCACCCAGAGCCCUUCAGCCCCACAGUUUAUUCACUAGUAUUUUUUAUUCUCUUUACUCAAGAGGUAGUUGCUGACCUGCUGUUGUAAAGUCUGCCUCUAGGAGGGGAGGCAUAACUGAAUGGCCUUGUGAAAUAACACUGAAGAGCUUCCUAUGAAUACUAUAUUAGUUCCUUUCUGUUGUUUUGUUAAAAUACCUCCAACAGAAAGCAAGCUAAGAAAGAAAGGAUUUAUUUUGCUUUAAAUUUACAAAAUAUAUACAGUCAUCUUGGCCAGAAAGUCACAGAGACAUUUCAUCUGAGCACAGGAAAUAGGGCAAGGGCUACGAAACCUCAAAGCUGGCAAUGAAUGCUCUUUCUCCAACAGUGCUCCACCUCAAAGUCUGUAACCUUUCCCACCAGCAUCAAGGGCAGAAGGCUAAACAUUCAAAUAGAUGAGCAUGAGAGACAGUUUUUCAAACUACAAUGAACUGUAACAAUUUGUUGUAAACUUAUGUCAUUUUCUCUACAUUAAAAAUAGGGACGGGGCUGGGGAUUUAGCUCAGUGGUAGAGCGCUUACCUAGGAAGCACAAGGCCCUGGGUUCGGUCCCCAGCUCCGAAAAAAAGAAUCAAAAAAAAAAAAUAGGGAGAUAGUCAAAAUAACUUGUCUAAUAUCGUGCAUCUAAGUACUGAUUGGUUUUUAACAUCUGUUCAGGGGCCUUGCUAGAUAUUUUCCUUGGGUUUCUUUCCCCCCUCACUAGUGCAGAAAUUUAAAUCCCAUGGCCUCUGAACCUUCACUCCAACGCUGAGCUACACUCCUAUUUCCUCAUCAUAUCAGUAAGCACUUCUAUAGUAUCUUUUUUUUUUAAGAUUUUUUAAAAAUAUUUAUUUAUUUUAUGUACAGCAUUCUGCCUGCAUAUGUGACUGCAGGCCAGAAGAGGGCACCAGGUCUCAUUACAGAUGGUUGUGAGCCACCAUGUGGUUCCUGGGAAUCAAACUCAUGACCUCUGGAAGAGCAGUCAGUGCUCUUAACCGCUGAGCCAUCUCUCCAGCCCGUAGUAUCUUUAUCCUGUUUAUAUUCUGCUAAUAGUGGUUAUGCUACUGUCAGCCUCUGCUAAACUGCAAGCUCCGUGACAGCACAGUGGCUUUGCUUGUAUCCCACAGUAACAGUAUGCCAUGCUUGGUUGGUAUACCAUAUUUGCUAAUGAAGAAACAGUGGUAACCAUUUGUACUUGGCUUGGGUUGAGUAUGGAAAUUUAAUACUUGUUGAAUAUUCAUGUAGCAGCAGACAUUUACCAGAAGAAAGUGCAAACAAAACAAGCC